rnacentral:SRP_RNA from 1 species
GCCGGGUGUGGUGGUGCAUGCCUGUAGUCCCAGCUACUCGGGAGGCUGAGGCAGGAGAAUCGCUUGAACCCAGGAGGUGGAGGUUGCAGUGAGCUGAGAUUGCGCCGCUGUGCUCUAGCCUGGGUGACAGAGUGAGACUCUGUCUCAA